UGGGGAUGACGUCAAGUCAUCAUGGCCCUUACGACCAGGGCUACACACGUGCUACAAUGGCGCAUACAAAGAGAAGCGACCUCGCGAGAGCAAGCGGACCUCAUAAAGUGCGUCGUAGUCCGGAUUGGAGUCUGCAACUCGACUCCAUGAAGUCGGAAUCGCUAGUAAUCGUGGAUCAGAAUGCCACGGUGAAUACGUUCCCGGGCCUUGUACACACCGCCCGUCACACCAUGGGAGUGGGUUGCAAAAGAAGUAGGUAGCUUAACCUUCGGGAGGGCGCUUACCACUUUGUGAUUCAUGACUGGGGUGAAGUCGUAACAAGGUAACCGUAGGGGAACCUGCGGUUGGAUCACCUCCUUACCUUAAAGAAGC
rnacentral:rRNA from 2 species